AGUCGAGGGGUAGAGGAAGCUUGCUUCCUUGAGACCGGCGCACGGGUGCGUAACGCGUAUGCAAUCUACCUUGUACAGAGGGAUAGCCCAGAGAAAUUUGGAUUAAUACCUCAUAGUAUCUUCGGAAGGCAUCUUCUGAUUAUUAAAGUUCCAACGGUACAAGAUGAGCAUGCGUCCCAUUAGUUAGUUGGUAAGGUAACGGCUUACCAAGACGAUGAUGGGUAGGGGUCCUGAGAGGGAGAUCCCCCACACUGGUACUGAGACACGGACCAGACUCCUACGGGAGGCAGCAGUGAGGAAUAUUGGACAAUGGGCGCAAGCCUGAUCCAGCCAUGCCGCGUGCAGGAAGACGGCCCUAUGGGUUGUAAACUGCUUUUAUACAGGAAGAAACACUCCCUCGUGAGGGAGCUUGACGGUACUGUAGGAAUAAGGAUCGGCUAACUCCGUGCCAGCAGCCGCGGUAAUACGGAGGAUCCAAGCGUUAUCCGGAAUCAUUGGGUUUAAAGGGUCCGUAGGCGGCCUUAUAAGUCAGUGGUGAAAUCUCCUAGCUCAACUAGGAAACUGCCAUUGAUACUGUAGGGCUUGAAUUUUUGUGAAGUAACUAGAAUAUGUAGUGUAGCGGUGAAAUGCUUAGAUAUUACAUGGAAUAA
rnacentral:rRNA from 1 species